AGUUCACACAAGCAUUGUGGACUCAGGAAGCCCAGCUUUUAACCUGCUUCUGAUGGCUGUGUGAACCAGCCCUUUGCCUGUCAUCCCGCAGCAGCCAAAUAUAGUGGGUAGAGGUGGAGUCAGAUGCAAAAACAAUGACUCAGAGAGUGGAGCGAUUACCGACAGCGUCGUGCAAGAGAACUGCAUAGACAGAAAAACAAAAACAUCACACGAUCCUCUCGGACACAAGGGAGCAUUUUUCUGAAUCAGCAGCAUCGACUGCUUUUUGGCAUGCGAGACAAAAAUCGGAGAGCCAGCAAAAUGUGACCUGCAUUUGGAGGAAGUCUAUCAAGCGGAGUGAUCCCCAGAAGGCGUUCUAAUGGUGCACAACUAAAGACUGAAGCAGCCAUCUUGAUUACCCAUAUGCCCCAAGACGUGGCAGCGCCACAGCACAGUGUAUGGCUUCCCAGAAUGCCUCUGCAAGGCCAGCUUUCUUCUUUCAAAGCCCACCUUCUCUGCAAAGCUUUGGCUUAACCUCACCCGCCUCCAGCCUUCUUUCCCUAUUCUAGACUCUCUUUCAACUGCAAUAGAGUCUGCAACAUGUGACUUCAUUUGCUCAGGGUGCUGAGCAAGGCGUGAAAGGAACCUCA